rnacentral:rRNA from 1 species
AGCUCCAAUAGCGUAUAUUAAAAUUGUUGCAGUUAAAAAGCUCGUAGUUGGAUUUCUGGUACGGCGCUCUUGGCCCGCUUCGGUUACGGAGUAGAGUGCCGACGGGCGCCUGCCAUCCUUCCAGUCAACGAACGGUAUCUCCCUUCACUGGGUUUAGAUGCCGUUGCGUCUGGAUCAUUUACUUUGAAAAAAUUAGAGUGUUUAAAGCAGGCUCACGCUAUGAAUACAUUAGCAUGGAAUAAUAAAAUAGGACUUUGGUCUUAUUUUGUUGGUUUCUAGGACUAAAGUAAUGAUUGAUAGGGAUAGUUGGGGGUGCUAGUAUUCAGCGGCCAGAGGUGAAAUUCUUGGAUUCGCUGAAGACUAACUUAUGCGAAAGCAUUCACCAAGGAUGUCUUCU